rnacentral:rRNA from 1 species
GUUAGGAAUAUUGGACAAUGUGCGAAAGCCUGAUCCAGCCAUGCCGCGUGAACGAUGAAGGCCUUCGGGUUGUAAAGUUCUUUAGCCGAUGAUUAUACUGACUGUAGUCGGAAAAUAAGCCCCGGCUAACUUCGUGCCAGCAGCCGCGGUAAUACGAAGGGGGCGAGCGUUAUUCGGAAUCACUGGGCGUAAAGCGUGCGUAGGCGGUUUUGUAAGUUAGGAGUGAAAGCCCAGGGCUCAACCUUGGAAUUGCUCUUAAAACUGCAAGGCUCGAAUCUCGGAGAGGAUAGCGGAAUUUCCAGUGUAGCAGUGAAAUGCGUAGAUAUUGGAAGGAACACCAGUGGCGUAAGCGGCUAUCUGGACGAGUAUUGACGCUGAGGCACGAAAGCGUGGGGAUCAAACAGGAUUAGAUACCCGAGUAGUCC